rnacentral:rRNA from 1 species
UACGUAGGGGGCAAGCGUUGUCCGGAUUUAUUGGGCGUAAAGAGCUCGUAGGCGGCUUGUCGCGUCGAGUGUGAAAUCCUGCGGCUCAACUGCAGGCUUGCAUUCGAUACGGGCAGGCUGGAGUUCGGUAGGGGAGACUGGAAUUCCUGGUGUAGCGGUGAAAUGCGCAGAUAUCUGGAGGAACACCGGUGGCGAAGGCGGCAUCCUGGACCGAGAUUGACGCUGAGGCGCGAAAGCCAGGGGAGCAAACGGG